rnacentral:rRNA from 1 species
UACGUAGGGGGCAAGGCGUUGUCCGGAAUCAUUGGGCGUAAAGCGCGUGUAGGCGGCUAGGUAAGUCUGCUCUGAAAGCCCGGGGCUCAACCCCGGGAGGCGGGUGGAUACUGUCUAGCUCGAGUCCGGAAGAGGAGUGUGGAAUUCCUGGUGUAGCGGUGAAAUGCGCAGAUAUCAGGAGGAACACCAAUGGCGAAGGCAGCACUCUGGGACGUGACUGACGCUGAGACGCGAAAGCGUGGGGAGCAAACAGG